rnacentral:rRNA from 1 species
UACAGAGGGUGCAAGCGUUAAUCGGAAUUACUGGGCGUAAAGCGUGCGUAGACGGUUAUGUAAGUCGGGUGUGAAAGCCCCGGGCUCAACCUGGGAAUGCCAUUCGAGACUGCAUAGCUAGGGUGCGGAAGAGGGAAGCGGAAUUUCCGGUGUAGCGGUGAAAUGCGUAGAUAUCGGAAGGAACACCAGUGGCGAAAGCGGUCUCCUGGACAGCCCCCUGACGCUCAAGCGCGAAAGCGAGGGGAGCGAACGGG